AUCCAACUGACGAGUCCCGAAUAGGAUGAAAUGUGUUUUGUCUUGGAU
rnacentral:hammerhead_ribozyme from 1 species